CGGGGUGAGUAAUGUCUGGGAAACUGCCCGAUGGAGGGGGAUAACUACUGGAGACGGUAGCUAAUACCGCAUAACGUCGCAAGACCAAAGAGGGGGACCUUAGGGCCUCUUGCCAUCGGAUGUGCCCAGAUGGGAUUAGCUAGUAGGUGGGGUAAUGGCUCACCUAGGCGACGAUCCCUAGCUGGUCUGAGAGGAUGACCAGCCACACUGGAACUGAGACACGGUCCAG
rnacentral:rRNA from 1 species